rnacentral:tRNA from 1 species
GCAAUAUUUUAGCUAGGGAAAAAGAGGUACAAAAUAACACAUAAUAAUCUUAUAUAACACAGGACUUACAAAACUUAAAAUCCUGCGGUUGAAUAAACCGUGCCGGUUCGAUUCCGGCCAUCUGCACCA